rnacentral:misc_RNA from 1 species
CCACUCAAAGUCGAAUAGUGGCUGGC